rnacentral:misc_RNA from 1 species
GAUGAAGAACGCAGCGAAAUGCGAUAAGUAAUGUGAAUUGCAGAAUUCAGUGAAUCAUCGAAUCUUUGAACGCACAUUGCGCCCGCCAGCAUUCUGGCGGGCAUGCCUGUCCGAGCGUCAUUUCAACCAUCAAGCCCCGGGCUUGUGUUGGGGACCUGCGUCCGACGCAGGCCCUGAAAACCAGUGGCGGGCUCGCUGUCCACACCGAGCGUAGUAACUAACCUCGCUAUGGAGUGGCGCGGGCGCCUGCCGUAAAACCCCCAAUUUCACAAGGUUGACCUCGGAUCAGGUAGGAAUACCCGCUGAACUUAAGCAUAUCAAUAAGCGGAGGA